GGUCUGCAGACGCGUUUCGGAGUGCCUAAACAUGCAGGGCGAGCGGACAGAUGGGAGCUUGCUCCCUGAUGUUAGCGGCGGACGGGUGAGUAACACGUGGGUAACCUGCCUGUAAGACUGGGAUAACUCCGGGAAACCGGGGCUAAUACCGGAUGGUUGUUUGAACCGCAUGGUUCAAACAUAAAAGGUGGCUUCGGCUACCACUUACAGAUGGACCCGCGGCGCAUUAGCUAGUUGGUGAGGUAACGGCUCACCAAGGCAACGAUGCGUAGCCGACCUGAGAGGGUGAUCGGCCACACUGGGACUGAGACACGGCCCAGACUCCUACGGGAGGCAGCAGUAGGGAAUCUUCCGCAAUGGACGAAAGUCUGACGGAGCAACGCCGCGUGAGUGAUGAAGGUUUUCGGAUCGUAAAGCUCUGUUGUUAGGGAAGAACAAGUACCGUUCGAAUAGGGCGGUACCUUGACGGUACCUAACCAGAAAGCCACGGCUAACUACGUGCCAGCAGCCGGGAAAUUA
rnacentral:rRNA from 1 species